rnacentral:tRNA from 1 species
GAGAUAUUAGUAAAAUUAUUACAUAACUUUGUCAAGGUUAAAUUAUAGAAUCAACUCUAUAUAUCUUA